AUGGUGGGCGCGCUCAUCGGCGCCAACCUGUCCGUCUUCAUGCUCUGGCGCGUGCUCGCGUAUCCCAGGUUCAUCACCGAUCCUCACAUGGUUUGGGUGGACAUGUACUUGGGCGGGCGGCUGCACACGCUGCUCAUGAGCGCCUCCAGCAAUGUGGAUCCCAUGUUCAUGAGGAAACAUUUCAUGAUCUCGCUGGACAAUUUCACGAGUGGGCGUUUGCACACGAUGCUCACAAGUGCUUUCAGCCACAUGAACCUUAAGCACCUCUGCAACAACAUGGUCGGCCUCUACUUCUUCGGCUCAAGCAUUGCCCGCACGUUUGGCCCUGGUUUUCUUUUCCAACUGUACGUUACUGGAGCACUUACUGGGUCGGUAUUCUACCUGGCAGAAAAGAUUUUUCUAGCUCCACGAAAAGAGGUUUUUGGAGGAUGGAAAACUCCCUGUCUUGGUGCAAGUGCUGCAGUUAAUGCAAUUAUUCUUCUUGAGAUAUUUUUGCAUCCGACGAAGCUACUAUACUUACACCUUUUCAUUCCCGUUCCAGCUGCAUUAGUGGGAGUUGGUUUGAUUGGUGCUGAUUUGUGGAGGGUCAAGAAGGGCGGGAGUCGCGUGUCAGGCUCUUCUCAUCUAGGGGGUGCCCUAGUGGCGGCGGUUGCCUUUGCGGAAAUCAAGGGCUGGAUCUGA
rnacentral:rRNA from 1 species